rnacentral:rRNA from 1 species
UACGUAGGGGGCAAGCGUUGUCCGGAAUCAUUGGGCGUAAAGAGCGUGUAGGCGGCCCGAUAAGUCCGCCGUGAAAGUCCAGGGCUCAACCCUGGAAUGCCGGUGGAAACUGUCGGGCUGGAGUCCGGAAGAGGCGAGUGGAAUUCCUGGUGUAGCGGUGAAAUGCGCAGAUAUCAGGAGGAACACCAAUGGCGAAAGCAGCUUUCUGGGACGGUACUGACGCUGAGACGCGAAAGCGUGGGGAGCGAACAGG